UACGUAGGAUGCAAGCGUUAUCCGGAUUGAUUGGGCGUAAAGCGUCUGUAGGUGGCUUGGUAAGUCUGCUGUCAAAGCCCCGGGCUUAACCCUGGACAGGCAGUGGAAACUACCGAGCUUGAGUACGGUAGGGGCAGAGGGAAUUCCCGGUGAAGCGGUGAAAUGCGUAGAUAUCGGGAAGAACGCCAACAGCGAAGGCACUCUGCUGGGCCGACACUGACACUCAGAGACGAAAGCUAGGGGAGCGAAAGGG
rnacentral:rRNA from 1 species